GAGUUUGAUCAUGGCUCAGGAUGAACGCUGGCGGUAUGCUUUAUACAUGCAAGUCGUACGAGAGUUUUUAACUCAAGUGGCGGACGGGUGAGUAACACGUAAGAAUUUGCCUUUAGGAGGGGGAUAACAACUGGAAACGGUUGCUAAUACCCCAUAUGCUUUUGAGUGAAAUGGAUUUUUCCGCCUAAAGAGAAGCUUGCGGCUGAUUAGCUUGUUGGUAAGGUAAUGGCUUACCAAGGCGACGAUCAGUAUCUGGUUUGAGAGGACGAUCAGACACACUGGAACUGAGACACGGCCCAGACUCCUACGGGAGGCAGCAGUAGGGAAUUUUCCGCAAUGGGCGAAAGCCUGACGGAGCAAUACCGCGUGAGGGAUGACGGCCUAUGGGUUGUAGACCUCUUUUUUCAGGGAGGAACAAAAUGACGUGUACCUGAAGAUAAGCAUCGGCUAACUCCGUGCCAGCAGCCGCGGUAAGACGGAGGAUGCAAGUGUUAUCCGGAAUCACUGGGCGUAAAGCGUCUGUAGGUGGUCAAUAAGUCAACUGUUAAAUCUUGAGGCUCAACCUCAAAUCGCAGUCG
rnacentral:rRNA from 1 species